rnacentral:misc_RNA from 1 species
GGAGUUUUCCCUUUUCUGAUUGAUGAGGAAAUAAACAGUCGAAGAACAAACUGAUUUGCCCUAGCCGGCAUUACGCAACUCAUUUCCCAUUUCUGAUUGAUGAGAAGUUAAACGAAGGAAAGUGAGCCAUGCCGUUGUUUAUAUCGGAUGAGGAAUACGAGCGGUGCUCGCAAGAUGCCGGUUUGGUAGCGGUUAAAGCUGAUGAGUUUAUUCGAGAUUUGUACAAUCAACUGGAAAAUGUGAAAGCACAGGCUGAUGCUGCAUCUAUUACAGCUGAACAGACUUGUUCUGUUCUUGAACAGAAGUAUGUCUCGCUUUCUUCAGAGUACUCCGCGCUUCAACUCCAGUAUUCUCAACUU